GGGAGGGGGUGACUAGUGACAGAGAGGGGGAGGGGGUGACUAGUGACAGAGAGAGGGAGGUGGUGAUUAGUGACAGAGGGAGGGAUGGGGUGACUAGUGACAGUCACCACCUCCUUCACUCUGUCACCACCUCCUUCACUCUGUCACUGUGUCACCCCCUCCCUCAAUCUGUCACUAGUCACCCCUUCCUUCCCUCACUCUGUCACCUGUCAACCCCUCACUCUGUCACUAGUCACCCCCUCACUC